UCCUCAUCCCUCUGCAAAGCAGGACUGGAAAUUACUCUUUGUCAAGCAGGAAGUCACCUGUAGGCUCUUGACCACUUCUAUUUGAAUCUACGGUCAUCAAGGUUUUCCUCCCUCAUAAGUCUGGCAUGGAGUAACACUCCCAGCUCUGGGAGAAAGCUCUGAGGCUCUCAAGAAAGCCCAGGGAACAGAAAAGAGAAGUCAGGAAGGGAAAAGCCCACACAGAUGGAGGUUUUCCUCGCCACCUCCCUCCGAUCACAUGGACAAGAAUAUUUCCUAUGUUCCCCAACUCCCCGCCUUGCUCCACAUUUCCAAGUAAUCCAGCCCCCAUUGCUGGGGGACCUUCCUUGAGAGCCAUCCCAGUUUCUUCUACAGAAAUCUGUUUGGAAUGCAAACUAAGUGGCAGCAGCCCCUGCAAUAAAGUUCUCACUCUCACCUUUUAAACCA